rnacentral:rRNA from 1 species
CAGCCGCCGCGGGAAUACGGAGGGGGCUAGCGUUGUUCGGAAUUACUGGGCGUAAAGCGCACGUAGGCGGCUUUGUAAGUUAGAGGUGAAAGCCUGGAGCUCAACUCCAGAAUUGCCUUUAAGACUGCCGAGCUAGCAGGUGAGAGAGGUAAGUGGAAUUCCGAGUGUAGAGGUGAAAUUCGUAGAUAUUCGGAAGAACGCCAGUGGCGAAGGCGGCUUACUGGCUCAUACUGGACGCUGAGGUGCGAAAGCGUGGGGAGCAAACAGGAUUAGAUACCCCUGUAGUCCCUGUCUCUUAUAC